rnacentral:lncRNA from 1 species
GGCCUAUGCCUAAGUUCCCUCCUUUUAAGGGAUUUGAUCAUCCUUUCCCUUUACCUCCACCUUUGGAGCUUCCACCGUUUCCUAAACCAUGCCCACCACCUCCGGUUCCGGUGUACGAGCCACCCCCAAAGGUGGAACUUCCACCACCUGUCCCGGUUCACGAGCCACCCCCAAAGGUAGAGGUUCCACCACCCGUCCCGGUUCACGACCCACCGCCAAAGGUGGAGCACCCACCUCCGGUUCCGGUUUACAAGCCACCUCCAAAGGUAGAGCACCCACCUCCAGUUCCGGUUUACAAGCCGCCUCCAAAGGUAGAGCACCCACCUCCGGUUCCGGUUUACAAGCCACCUCCAAAGGUAGAGCACCCACCUCCGGUUCCAGUACACAAGCCACCAACAAUCCCUAAGAAGCCAUGCCCGCCUAAGUCGCCGAAGAUUGAGCUUCCACCGCCAGUGCCAGUUCACAAACCACCGACUAAGAAGCCUUGUCCGCCCAUGCCACCAAAGAAAGUUGAUCCGCCACCGGUUCCAGUCCACAAGCCGCCGCCGAAAAUAGUCCUUCCACCGCCGGUACCAAUCCACAAGCCGCCAAAGAAGCCGUGCCCGCCUAAACCGCCAAAGGUCGAGCUUCCACCACCAGUACCGGUCUACAAGCCACCACCGAAGAUAGAGCAUCCACCAAUCUAUGUGCCACCGGUGAUCCCGAAGAAGCCGUGCCCUCCCAAAGCGCCGAAGAUCGAUCCACCACCGGUUC